ACCCACUCUGGAAUUAAGGCGUACAGCUGUGACAUUUGUGGAAAAACUUUCAGCCGGAUAGGGAGCCGAAAUACACACCUACGCAUUCACACCAGACAUGAUGUGUACAGCUGUGAUCAGUGUGGUAAACAGUUUACCACAAACACAGAGUUACAACGUCACAUGUUUACCCACACUGAGGAACGACCUUAUAAAUGUGACCUGUGUGAGAAGACUUUUAAAUCUCCACGUUGCCUGAAAGCACACCAACAGAUCCACACCAGAAAGACUCUACACGUGCAGUUACUGUGAGAAGCAGAGCGACACAAAUGGAUCAAGUUCUCAACCCUGUCAUCGCUGUGGGAAAGACUUUUGUUGUGACCUUUGUGGAAAAACUUUAAGUCAUUGAAGGACUCUGAAAAUACAUCAACGUAGACACACUGGAGACAAAAUGAACUACUGUAAAGAAUGCGGGAGAGGCUUCACCACUUCAAAGGACUUCAAACAAUAUGAACUCCUUCACAGUGGCGUUAAAAAGCAUGUCUGCGAUCAGUGUGGGUCAUCCUUCAUCAGUGCACGUCAGCUUGAAAAGCAUAAACGAGUCCACACAUGAGAGAAA